rnacentral:lncRNA from 1 species
GAGUAGCAACUGAUGAGUAGAAAUUUUCAUGGAUGAGUAGUGACAGAUUAUUAGAAUUUUGUGUAUAUGAAUGUAUAGAACGGAAUCUCCGUGGAUGAGUAGCGAUGGAUUAAUAGAAUUUUUUUGUAUAUGAAUGUGCAGUAAAACAAUACUAGUACCAGUAAUUGAUAUCAACUAGUAAAAACAAAACAAUGUUUCAGUCUAAGGGCAUUCUAGACUUUUCACCAGAAUACACGAACAACAAGCUGAGACGUAAAAACAAAACAAUGUUUCACUCUAAGGGCAUUCUAGACUUUUCACCAGAAUACACGAACAACAAGCCGAGACGUAAAAACAACAAUGUUUCAGUCUAAGGGCAUUCUAGACUUUUCACCAGAAUACACGAACAACAAGCUGAGACGUAAAAACAAAACAAGACUUUUCACCAGAAUACACGAACAACAAGUUGAGACGUAGAAAACGAAAAAAAAAAGGACUGCAGUUUCAUUGUGUCUUUUUCCCAUCACAGUUUCUGAGGCUAGAGAAUUUUAAGCCGUUUCGGCCGAAAAGAACUGCCCUAAGACUCACAAGCAGCAGA